rnacentral:lncRNA from 1 species
ACCUUUCUUCUCAUUAAUUGUCCAUUUCUCAUCAUUAUCCAGAUGUAGGUCCCCGUCUAUGUCCUUCUUUUUACUCAUUGGAGGCAUGAAUGCAUGGCCCAAAACACGACCUGGACCAUCAAAAGCAUUCUUAGAGCCAUCGUUAUGCAGACCAGAGACAAAGAAAAUGUCCAUAUCGGCUGUUUGGCUAAUACCCACUUCAAUAAAAUUUAGAUGCGACACAUUCUCCCAAACCUAGAAACAGAGGGCUACAUUAGUUGUUUAUUCACAAAUGUUGAAGUGACAACUUCCAAAAUGUCUAAUCACUAAUAGAUAUUUUUUUUAUAUUUUAUAUCUAAAUGUCAAUUAGGUUGGUGUAAAACAUAAUGGUUAUAAAAUAUAUUCCACAAUUGUUCAGAUUGUUUAGAAACUGGGUAGAUAAAACUACUUUAAAUACAGCUUGUGGAAAUUAUUAUUAUUAUUUUUUUUAGGUAAUGUUUUUAUUGAGUUUUUCCAUACAACAGUUUAGAAUUGUCAUAUGAAAGGAAAAGAAUCAUGUAUGAAUAAAUAAAUGGAAACAAAGCUUGCAUCAAAAAUAGUUAUCCAACUUUAAGGAUAAGAUAUAGAUAUAGAUAUUAAAUUCUAAGGCUUUAAUUACCAGGGGGCUGCUGCUAAGACAAACAGUUAAUUGUUUUUAUUUCUUUAUGUGGGCCAGGCCAAGACAUUGUCUGCCUGGGUCCAAGGAUGAAAUGCUUCCCCCCAAAACACUCAAAAUUCCAUUAUGAAGUGUGUGUGUGUGGAGUGGAUGCAGUGUUUGUAGUGAAUUCAUUAGGUGUGUGUGUGUGUGUGUGUAUAGUAGAUGCAGAGUGUGUGUUUGGGUAGUGAAUGCUGUGUGUGUAGUAGAUGCAGUGUCUGUGUGUAGUGAAUGUAUUGUGUGUGUGUGUGUGUGUGUGUGUGUAUAGUGGAUUCAGUGUGUUUAAAUUUUAAAUUAAUUUUGAAUUCUCUUUAAUUCUCACUCUAGUGAAUAACCCUGUAAGAGUACUACAAUCUGGUGAGCGAAUGUAGACUAGACAAGGCUUCAUGGAAUUUCGAGUAGUUAUAAAUUCAAGGCAAUUACACAGAAGCAUUAAGAAAUAAUAAAAACAAUAAACUGAGGAGUACACUAGAAGAGGAGUCCCUCAAGAUAUAUUCCCAACUCGCUCCUAGCCAGUUUGCAGAGGAACUGCUAGAAACAAAACCUUGAAUAUUAACGUCCCUGGUGAACCCUCAUCAUUUUGCGCGUUUUGAAGAGAAUGAACUCUUCACAGACCUACCCCAAAAAACACCCUUCAAUACAUUUGAUUACUUACAAUACAUACAAAUACGGCACAACAACCUUAACGACUUUCAAAAAAGCAUCUAUACAAUGCCAGUGCAGAGAGGCUAGAUAUUUACACUCUUCUGACCCCAAAACCUGUUGAAGCUUCAUUAACCUGUCUCAGCUUUGGAGAGUGAUCUAGGCCCCUUGGAGGACCCAUUGGACUGGCUGUCCAUAUGGGAAACAACAGCCACGGUUACGAUAUGCGUUAACCACAAAGAACAGGCAUAUAAAACACUGAUGUGUUAAACAAAGGGGCAGCACCAUCUCUGACCACUGUUGGAAGGGAUGCAGACAAAAUGGCACCUACUUCCACCUAUUGUGGGAAUGUAACCAAAUUGCCCAACUGUGGCGUGAAAUCACACAGUUCGCUUCAAAGAUCCUACAUACAAAAAUUCCGAAAGACCCAUGGAUAUGUCUGCUCUCCAAUCCCUACUGAGAUAUUCCCAGAGACCAAAACAAGCUAAUAACAAAAAUAGUGUUAUCAACUAGAAGGGCCAUAGCAGAAAAUUGGGGUUUAAUCAAAAUCCCAACCCUAGGAGAUGUAAAAAGAUGUAAAAAGCAAAAAGAGACCAGAAAAAUGGACAGGCAUUCAGCACUAAUCCAUGACACAAUUAAACAUUUUGACAAAAUAUGGGACCCAUGGCUCUUGGUACUUUCCUCAACCUGCCCUAACUCACCCCUCCCGCUAUGCACCAUCACCACUCCCCUUUUUUUCCUCCUCCUUUUUUUCUUACUCUUCCCGAAAUCCUUCUUUCUCCCUUUUCUUUCUUGUAAUCCUAUCUUGGGUCCCUGUAAUGGACACAGGUUUAUUAUGGUCUUAUUCAUUAGAAAUCACUUAAUACAGUUUAUUAUGUUGAGUGCCAUUUUAGAAUUGUAC